ensembl:Y_RNA Y_RNA Y RNA
GGCUGGUCUUAGUGCAGCGUUAUUUACAACUAAUUGAUCACAGUCAGUUAUAGAUUUCUUUGUUCCUUCUCCACUCCCACUGCUUCGCUUGACUAGCCUUUU